UUACAAGACGUAUAUGAUGCGAAUAAAAUAACAGAUUUUUACUAAAAUAACUGGCGAGUAAAACCAGUAAAAAAACAUUCAAUUUGUACCAAAUACAUAUUAAUAGAUCUAGUAGCGUACUAGUAGAUAAUAUCUUAAUACUUAUGGUCGGUACUUUCAUGGUGGCUUCAAGUUUUAUGCGUUAUAACCAAUCAUGGAAGUAAGAUCUUAAGAAUACACUAACGUACAUCUAAUCGCGAUCCUUCCUACAUUCUCAUUGGCGAAUUUCUCAUUAUUUUCUCUUUCACUCUCGUCACUAUGUACCUAAGAUCUACCAGUGUUUCGUUAACAAUUGCCAUUAACAUCGUAUAAAUCAACAUCUAUCGUAACGAAUAUACGAAAAACGAACCUCUCUUCGUUCCAAAUAUCAGUGAAAAACUGUGUGAACCAGUUCCAGACAGCAUUUCAAAGAAUUUCUUCGUUCGACAGGAGCAGAUGGAUCGAGGAUUUUCGUGCGGGGACUUCGCCAAGAAGUUGAUACGAUCUUCUUCGUAGAACGAUUUAAGCGAUCGUUCGUUUAUCGUAUUUUCCGAAGCAGUAUAUAACAAGAAAAAUAUUGAUCGACGGGGAAAUAUUCGAUCGAAGCGAAUCGAAGGUUGUCCAGGCAGGAACUAAAUAGAUUCGAGAAGACUUGGAGUGUGUAAUUGAAAGUGUUUUUGCCACGGGAUGGUUCAGGUAUGUAGAGAUGACUUUAAGGGAGAUAGACAUCACAGAAGAAAAAAAAACGAACAACCGCAUCUCCUCGUUAAUAUCCUCACAGCGUGAAGAGAAAUAAAUGGCUCAAAGGCGAUUCCUCUGUGGUUCGUAAAUAUUCUCGCGUCUCUAAUAUAAAGAACGCUACGUGGAAGGGAAACUGAAGAUGCUUGAUUCUUUCCUUCAUCUUCUUUCUUUUUCUUUUUUUUUUUUCUUUUCGGAAACGGUAAGUCCAUUCUGGUUGACUGAAAUGAGAUUCUCCUCUUUUUUCUACUCUUUAUCAGUCACGGGUGGUAAUCCUAUUAGCGGACACGAAAGAGGAUAGCGGAUUUCCACGUAACCGAAUCGACAAUCCUAUUUAUCUGUAUUUUUUAAGCCGCAUAGCUGAAUCUAAAAAUACGAAGCACGUGGUAUUUAAAAAACGAGAACCAAAAAGCGAGAGAACCUGUCCGACCAGAGCUCGCCCUCCGCGUCCUAUUUCGUAGAAAUCGAGAAUGCCGGGGCUGCAUAUGCGUUGCAUUAUACCGACGUAGUAUCGGGCGAUGCGCUGACUAUAUCAGAAAGUAAAGAAAUGGUUGCAUGAAUUCAUGCCAAGGGGAGAUCCCACUGAAAAGGAAGAGUGAAAAACCUGUCUCCGUCGUUAUAUCGACAGUUACCUAAUAAAUAUAGAGAGAGGCAAGAAGCAAGAAAUAGGUAAAGUAUGACGCAUUUGCGAGACGACUAAACACGGUAAAGGAAGAAGUGGUGGCUAAUUAAUCGACUUCUCGUGCAACGCGUGCAUUUCCCGUAAUCACGUUGUUUUCCAUACAGUAUCCACGCAUAGAAGACAAUGAAAGUGGUCGUUUAGACAGAUCGGCGAUAUUACAAAACGUGCAGUAGUUGAGCGUAUUAACCGAACAAGAAACCAACUGGAAACAAUCAGAUUCUCGUCGGUGGUUCUUCCAAACGAGAUUGGUCGAUUCUUGCGAAACUUGGAACUCGUUCAGUUCGAUUCCUCGAAACCACCUACCGAGUGCAAUAAUCUAGACAAAACGUAGAUUCCGAUUUGCAGAGAUCACGUUGAUUCGCAUCUAUUUUUGGACGAAGCAACGAGAAACAGAAUGUCUCAUGCGCAUUCACUGUGCCAUAUACGAGAUUGGUCUUAAAUCUGUGCAAAUCUACAAAACAAAUCAAUAUAUAAAAUCAAAUAAUGCUAAACAGAAAACCUAACGAUUCAUACCAAGUUAUUAUUAUUGGUAUUAUUUCUUGCAACUUUCUAUCAAACGUAUGAUGCACCGCGGUGUAAUGAUGAACUAUUACAAAUGUAGUCGCAACCAGUUUCAAUGGAGUAACAAAAAAGAAGGCAAAAAGACGUUCGUCCGUGCCAUAAACAGGUUCAAUGUCAGCGAUUGCGUAGGUUCCAUCAAACCGUUGCCAACACAGUUUUGACCUGUCACUGUAAACCAUGAAUUUUCUUGAUUACCAAUUAAACCAACCUUCCUCGUUUCCAUUUCCGCAUACGUCAUAACGGCACACAAUUUCGUGAAACUCGAAACUCCCAAGUUGAUUUUUCGUCUGCCGUACAAAUAAUUAUGAAACAGAUGAAAAUGAAACGUCUCGAAUACUAAUCGAGAAAAUGGAUAUCAGCCACGAUUUUCACGGCUACGAAACGGCGUAAAGGCAUAACAAAAUCUGAUGAAAGCUUGCAAUUUAUAGAUCCACUGUGUAAACGUAUCCAGAGUACAGAGCAAACAAGACAUGUCGCAAUAAUCAUAGAUACGCGAAUUAAAGGACGUCAGGCCCUCGAUGAUAUUGUCUCGGCGAUGAUGGUGACGACAACGUGUAAUAUUUUGCUUCUGACAACGCCUCUUCUUCGACCCUCAACGCCAAUCGUAUCUUGAGCCAUACUGACUCUUUGACAUGGUAAGGUAGAGUUGUUUGAAUCGCCUAACAUCUCGAAAUUCAAUCUUGAACUUUCCAUAAUAUAUUGAACUUUUCAUAAUGUAAUUAAUCUAGUUGAAUAUUAUGAGACACGACUAGUCUUUAAUAUAAUAAUGAAAGAGUGUAAGUGUAGAAAAUAUCGCGUGUACUUUAGAUCCAGCAAGACCAAAAAAUGCGGUGGAGUAUAAUUGUACGAAUCCUCUAACAUUCUUUUGUUUAUCUAUCGACCUAUGUCGCAUUGAUAACAACGGAGAAAUUCUAUGGCUCGCAAUCGUUGCUCCUUGUGUGGUCUUCACGGUCGAAUGUCGAUCAUGUGACCAUACAAAUAUCCUUGAUAACACUAGAAAUCAGAGAAAAAGAUACAAAAGGAGUAUCGCAAAAAAACAAAAGUGAAAAUACGCGAAAGAAAGACACAUUAAUCAGAAUACGAGUUAUCUACCCUUCCGGGAAACAUCGUAUCCGGUGAAUGAUAUGCACUGCAUGUUGACAAUAAUGAAAUGAGACCUUCGCUCGAGCGUUACUGCACGCCAUUCGACGAAUAAUGCGUCGCUAAUUAAACGACAUUUUGUUUACGUUUUUUAAGUGAAGCUAAGAGAGAGAGAGAGAGAGAGAGAGAGACUUUAAAAUGAAUCUGGUAUAAGUAUAUAUGUAUUUUUAUUCGUAUUUAUCAUACAACUAUGUAUAUAACAAAUUAUAGCAGAAUUACAAAUUUAAAAAAUGAUACAUAAGAAUUAAGAAAAAAUUGCUAGAACUUCACACGUAUUAUCAAAUCAAUCAUCUCACUCUUCCAGUCUGACUAUAGAUAUAUUUAUUAUAUCAAUAUAUAUAUAUAUGUAUAUAUGAUACUUAUUUAUCUAUAGAUAUAUAUAUAUAUAUAUAUAUAGCUAUUUUAUAUAUUUAGGAACUGGGAAGUGCUGCACGAAUAAGAGCAUGUAAUUUUUUAAGCCCUGGUACAUUGCAUUCAUUGUAGCUCGAUAUUUCAUCCUCGCAACUUUUUAUCCAAGCCUUUACAUUUGGAUAUUGAUCCAUAUCCAUCAGAACCUAGAGAAAACAUUCGGAAAGAGGUCAACUGAUUCUCGAAACGUUGUGAUAUUCGUUUUAAUAAACAUUGAACAACUUACAGAGAUACUGCUGGCCACAGUUACACAACUAAUAUCCGCGAGAGUGUAAGAUUUGCCCACCAACCAUUUCUUGCCUUCCAGAAGCUUAUCCAAGUACGAGUACGCUUCCUUACAUCCGUCCAACAUUUCUUUGGAAAUAGAAGACUUUUGUCCCAACAUUAUCGGUACCUAUGACAGUGAAGUGUUACAAAUAACAUAAAAAGGAAAAAUAUAUAAAGUGUAAAAAAUGUAAGUUCGAAUGAACGAGGAAAUAAAAAAAUUAUAAAUAUUCCGAAUUAAUGAUGUGGACAUCAUCAGCCUGUGAAAUUAUCUGUCACUGCAGAAGGUUUACGUCAUGAGCAACUGCGUUAUAGUGUGCACAACAUCAAACUUCCGGACGCACAUUUAUUUCCAAGGGUCAAAGUUAAUUCGUAUAACUUCUAAGUCCAUGUACAACGCGCGUGUUAUACUAUAAUCAACCGUACCGCAUGCUUACAACAUUAACGCUAUGGCUUAGAUUUAGGUUUUUAGUGUGAACUCUCAGUUUCUAAAAAGAAUCUGUAUAUUUUCCUAAAUUUAUUCCCAUAUGUUGCUUUCACCUUGGCUUAUUAAUCCCCUGGAUUUCUAACUAGAAACGUCAUAUAGUGAUCGUUCGAAAAUUUGCUUGAAUUCGAGAAAAACAUUAAAAAAAUCAUUAUUCAUAUACAUGACUCUCGUUUCUCUCUCGUGAUUCUCUCAAAUAUAUAUCAGUGAUUCUCUUAAAACAUUAAAAGCCUUUUUUAGUCCCUCGAAACCGAAACAAGAUUGAGUCGUAAAAAAAUUCGAA